rnacentral:rRNA from 1 species
GACGAACGCUGGCGGCGUGCUUAACACAUGCAAGUCGAACGGUAAGGCCCUUCGGGGUACACGAGUGGCGAACGGGUGAGUAACACGUGGGUGAUCUGCCCUGCACUUCGGGAUAAGCCUGGGAAACUGGGUCUAAUACCGGAUAGGACUCCGGACUGCAUGGUCUGGGGUGGAAAGCUUUUGCGGUGUGGGAUGGGCCCGCGGCCUAUCAGCUUGUUGGUGGGUGAUGGCCUACCAAGGCGACGACGGGUAGCCGGCCUGAGAGGGUGACCGGCCACACUGGGACUGAGAUACGGCCCAGACUCCUACGGGAGGCAGCAGUGGGGAAUAUUGCACAAUGGGCGCAAGCCUGAUGCAGCGACACCGCGUGAGGGAUGACGGCCUUCGGGUUGUAAACCUCUUUCAGCAUCGACGAAGCGAAAGUGACGGUAGGUGCAGAAGAAGGACCGGCCAACUACGUGCCAGCAGCCGCCGCGG